AAUGAACGCUGGCGGCAUGCCUAACACAUGCAAGUCGAACGAAGGCUUCGGCCUUAGUGGCGCACGGGUGCGUAACGCGUGGGAAUCUGCCCUUGGGUUCGGAAUAACAGUUAGAAAUGACUGCUAAUACCGGAUGAUGUCGUGAGACCAAAGAUUUAUCGCCCAAGGAUGAGCCCGCGUAGGAUUAGCUAGUUGGUGGGGUAAAGGCCCACCAAGGCGACGAUCCUUAGCUGGUCUGAGAGGAUGAUCAGCCACACUGGGACUGAGACACGGCCCAGACUCCUACGGGAGGCAGCAGUGGGGAAUAUUGGACAAUGGGCGAAAGCCUGAUCCAGCAAUGCCGCGUGAGUGAUGAAGGCCUUAGGGUUGUAAAGCUCUUUUACCCGGGAUGAUAAUGACAGUACCGGGAGAAUAAGCUCCGGCUAACUUCGUGCCAGCCGCCGCAGUAAAAC
rnacentral:rRNA from 1 species